rnacentral:rRNA from 1 species
CUGCGAAUGGCUCAUUAAAUCAGUUAUCGUUUAUUUGAUAGUACCUUACUACUUGGAUAACCGUGGUAAUUCUAGAGCUAAUACAUGCUAAAAACCCCGACUUCGGAAGGGGUGUAUUUAUUAAAUAAAAAACCAAUGCCCUUCGGGGCUCCUUGGUGAUUCAUAAUAACUUAACGAAUCCCAUGGCCUUGUGCCGGCGAUGGUUCAUUCAAAUUUCUGCCCUAUCAACUUUCGAUGGUAUUGUAUUGGAUUACCAUGGUUUCAACGGGUAACGGGGAAUUAGGGUUCUAUUCCGGAAAAGGAGCCUGAAAAACGGCUACUACAUCCAAGGAAGGCAGCAGGCGCGCAAAUUACCCAAUCCCGACACGGGGAGGUAGUGACAAUAAAUACUGAUACAGGGCUCUUUUGGGUCUUGUAAUUGGAAUGAGUACAAUUUAAAUCCCUUAACGAGGAACAAUUGGAGGGCAAGUCUGGUGCCAGCAGCCGCGGUAAUUCCAGCUCCAAUAGCGUAUAUUAAAGUUGUUGCAGUUAAAAAGCUCGUAGUUGAACCUUGGGCCUGGCUGGCCGGUCCGCCUCACCGCGUGCACUGGUCCGGCCGGGCCUUUCCUUCUGGGGAGCCUCUGCCUUCACUGGGUGUGUUGGGGACCAGGACUUUACUUUGAAAAAUUAGAGUGUUCAAGCAGGCCUAUGCUCAAUACAUUAGCAUGGAAUAUAGAAUAGGACGUGUGUUCUAUUUGUUGGUUCUAGGACCCCGUAUGAUAAUAGGAAAGUCGGGGCAUCAUAUUCAUUGCAGAGGGAAUUCUGGAUUAUUGAGACAACUAUGCGAAGCUUUGCCAGGAUGUUUAUUAUCAUGACGAAGUUAGGGACGAAACAUCAAUACGUCUAUCUA